rnacentral:tRNA from 1 species
AAUUUAUUAGUAUAAAAAGUAUAUUUAAUUUCCAAUUAAAAGGUUUUUAAAAAAAUAAAUUA